GCCCGGGUGGCGAAAUGGUAGACGCAAGGGACUUAAAAUCCCUCGAGGUCAAACUCAUACCGGUUCGAGUCCGGUCCCGGGCACCA
rnacentral:tRNA from 1 species